UACGUAGGGUGCGAGCGUUAAUCGGAAUUACUGGGCGUAAAGUGUGCGCAGGCGGCAGAGCAAGUCGAGUGUGAAAUCCCCGGGCUUAACCUGGGAACUGCGUUUGAAACUGAAAGGCUAGAGUGUGGCAGAGGGGGGGUGGAAUUCCACGUGUAGCAGUGAAAUGCGUAGAGAUGUGGAGGAACACCGAUGGCGAAGGCAGCCCCCUGGGCUAACACUGACGCUCAUGCACGAAAGCGUGGGGAGCAAACAGG
rnacentral:rRNA from 1 species